rnacentral:ribozyme from 1 species
UGCCCAGCAACUCCUAUCCCCACCUCCUCGCGGUACUGGCCGGGGUACGAGUAACCUUAGGGAAGA